CGCCCGGUCCCAUUCCGAACCCGGAAGCUAAGGCCUGGCACGGCGAUGGUACUGCACUCGGGAGGGUGUGGGAGAGUAGCACGCCGCCGCAUUACAUGU
rnacentral:rRNA from 1 species